CAAGGACCUUCUAGAUUGAAAAUUGCGUACAAAGCAAAAAAAAAGGAAGCCAAACUUGAUGGUUGGACACCAAAUUAUACAUGCCUUGAAACUAUAGGCAACAAACUAAAUUUUAGGAAGCAAGCCGUGCUUUGAUUAAGUUGUUAGAAAAUAAAUAAAUCACAAUUAAUGCAAAAUCCUGCAUGCAAUAAAUCAAUAAAUGCAAAAUCCUGCAUGCAAAGUGAGUAACGCAGGGAAGUUCGAUAGCAGAACAGACGAUGUAGGUGCAUGCAGACCGUCACAGAGAAGAUUGCCAGCAAAUUGAACGAUGUAGGUGCUUCAUAGGUUUCUUCUUCCAAACUGACUUUAUAAAUGUAAGAAGACCUGUUUGUGACCAAUAGCCCGUACAUAAUCCUGACAUUGGGGUACCAUAAAUUUCGAAGAUCAUGAGGGUGCUUAUACUAUUCGGUUUUAAUUUGUAGAGUUCCACAGCAAAAGUGGCUGUUGAAAGCUUGUACAUAUAUAUAUUUAAGUCAUUAAAUAUCAAAAGUAGUGUCAGGAAAAAUACUCGCAUUCAGUACAUACUUGCUAUGCAAAUAUAUUGGCAAAGUUUUAAGACAAGAUACAAAGACAAAUACCAAGCCCAAAGCCAAAUCUAGUUCAACCAUUGUUUAACAAACUGCUCAAUCAGACAGACCUGAAGAACAAAUAUUGCUCAACCAUUGUUUAACACAGUUUACGAAAGAACAAAUAUUGCUGAAAUAUACAACCUGAAGCUACCACAUACAAUGCAAGAUUUACACCUGAAGCACAAUGACAAAACUGGAUAUAGCCUAACUAGAGCUUUAACAUUGCUAGAGCUUCAACGUCUCAAAGCUUUCACCAGAGCAAAGGGAUCAAUCACCAUCGUCAUGUCAAGCCUGCAAAAAAAUAAAAGACUAGUAUCAGUUUCACGGCAUUUUAUGUUUGCAUCCAAUCAAUCUAUGGCAAAUCCCUCAUCCCAGACACAUCAAAUGGUACAAGGGCGACAGCAAGCACGUGAUAAGCGCAUGGGGCAGAGACAGCAAAAGUAAUGGCGCACGUGCUGCACGAAGCGCCCAGAUCCAAGCAGCAGCCGUAAGGAAUCUGAUGCAAAUCUACCAUGGAAAAUCAUGUGGCCACAAGUAGGACGAGGGGAUAAACGCAUCCAUGGGGAGAUCUAAGAGAUCUGCCACAAAUGGACACCGGUCCUGUAGAGCAGACGGCCGGUAGGGAAGGGAUGAAUACGAAGCAACAGUGACACCACGGCUCAAAAGCAAGGGAAUAAAGGUGCGUGCGAAGUACAAAGCACAACCUGAAUCUUUUAUUCACUAACUUGGGGAGAAAACAAAAUACCAAGGCUAUUCAAAUCUUGGCUUGGAAUAUAACCCAAGAAAAUACAAAGCUCACUCGAAUCUUGGUAGCAAAUACACAAUAAAUACCAAGCUCCUGGAGAGAUCUCGAGAAGAAGAAAUAGCUUCCGUUCAGAUCUGGAACGUGGGGCAUUUUAAAGAUUUGCAGCAGCUAGCAUGCAAUAGACGGCAGACGAAACUAAUUGACAGUAGAUCAAGAUGCAGAGCUCCCUUCAAUCCAAACAGCGGUCAGCGAGGGAUCGAAGCGGCUCCUCGGUCAUGCAAACCACAAGCCUAUCUCCUCGUAUUCUAAUGGAGAUAGGAUAGUGGGAACCAUGAACAAGCAGCUGCACAAACCCUUCGGUAGACCCUUCAUUGGAAUGAUAGGAGCUCCACCUCUAAACCAGAUCAAAGAAAACCAAGCAAAAAAGAAGAAGAUCUGUGGCUCACAAGCCAAAGCCAAGAACAAAGAGAACGAGCAUCCAUGGAGAUAUGCUGGCUAGAACUCGGUAGACAGUAGGCUACAUCUAUUGGGCUGGAAGAGAUGGAAGGGAAGAGAAAGAAAGAAACUAUCCUGUGGCGCUG
rnacentral:rRNA from 1 species